AUAUUGAGUCAUUACCAGUUUUAUGAUAGCAUAACUAGUCGAUCCGUCUUAUUGUCAAUAUUAAAACUAAGGCUGUAACAAAUAACAUUUUACGUUUUACACACAUGGACUACAGAAUGGAGCAGAUCGCUAAUUACAGACAUCAAAUACAAGGAUGGUUCCAUUAUUGUAACAGAAUACAACAUUAUAAUUGAAUAAUUGACGGUGAAGCAACUGAAGACACACAAGUGAGUGUCGAAACGUCUUGCGUAUGUUCGCGUAUAUUUAUUAAAAUGUUUUUUAUGUUAGCGUAUCAUCACGGAUAAUUAUUAUAAUGUAACUUAUUUUCGUAAUUAAUUCAUAGCUUGUAUCCGCAAUUUUUAUGAAAUAAUUCGAUUCAUUAAUAUAUUUAGUAAUUAAGAAAUAUAUUUCUGAAAAAGGAAAAAAAUUUUAAUUUACGGUUGUAAUUCGCAUCUUUUAUGUUGUAACAAUUUCGCAAUAAAGUAUCUUUUCAUUA